ACUACCUCUAAAAGAAGGAUUAGUAGUAACUGUUUUUAAGGCGUAGAGAGGUAGUGGUUGGUGAAAACUAUCGCUUAAAACUUUAUGAACUCGCCUUCUUUGUUGUGGGUGCGAAUGAAGUAGUAGUCCCUGCCGUAACUCUGCGUUAAAGACUAAAGUGAACGUUAAACCAUUUAUACGUUAAUUUGGGUGGUACCGCGGGAAAGCCGAGCUUCUCGUCCCUGAU
rnacentral:ncRNA from 1 species